rnacentral:sRNA from 21 species
GCUCGGCACAGGCCACGGCCUCGCCGGCCGGUCACAGCACAACUGUGGUCAGCUCGACUCUCCUGCUUCGGCAAACACACUGCGCGGUCCGGCAGAGCGGGGCGUAGCGGCGGUUCAGCGCAGAACUGCCGUCGAGACCCGCGGCCGGC